rnacentral:rRNA from 1 species
UGGGGAAUAUUGGACAAUGGGCGAAAGCCUGAUCCAGCCAUGCCGCGUGUGUGAAGAAGGUCUUCGGAUUGUAAAGCACUUUAAGUUGGGAGGAAGGGCAGUAAGCGAAUACCUUGCUGUUUUGACGUUACCGACAGAAUAAGCACCGGCUAACUCUGUGCCAGCAGCCGCGGUAAUACAGAGGGUGCAAGCGUUAAUCGGAAUUACUGGGCGUAAAGCGCGCGUAGGUGGCUCGUUAAGUUGAAUGUGAAAGCCCCGGGCUCAACCUGGGAACUGCAUCCAAAACUGGCGAGCUAGAGGAGGGCAGAGGGUGGUGGAAUUUCCUGUGUAGCGGUGAAAUGCGUAGAUAUAGGGAGGAACACCAGUGGCGAAGGCGACCACCUGGGCUCAUACUGACACUGAGGUGCGAAAGCGUGGGGAGCAAACAGG